rnacentral:snRNA from 1 species
GUGCUCGCUUCAAGCAGCAUAUAUACUAAAAUUGGAAUGAUACAAAGAAGAUUAGCAUGGCCCAUGGGCAAGGAUGACACGCAAAUUUAUGAAGCGUUCCAUAUUAAA